GAUGAACGCUGGCGGCGUGCUUAAUACAUGCAAGUCGAGCGAACAGACGAGGCGCUUGCUCCUCUGACGUUAGCGGAGGACGGGUGUGUAACACGUGGAUAACCUCCCUAUAAGACUGGGAUAACUUCGGGAAACCGGAGCUAAUACCGGAUAAUAUCUUGCAGCGUAUGGUUCAAUAGUGAAAGACGGUUUUGCUGUAACUUAUCGAUGGAUCUGGGCCGCAUUAGCUAGUUGGUAAGGUAACGGCUUACCAAGGCAACGAUGCGUAGCCGAACUGAGAGGCGGAUCGGCCGCCCGGGAACUGAGACGCGGACCAUGCGCCUACGGUAGGCAGCAGUAUGGAAUCUGCGGCAGUGGUCGAAAGCCUGACGGAGCAACGCCGCGUGAGUUAUGAAGGUGUUCGGAUCGUAAAGCUCGGUUAUUAGUUAAGAACAAAUGUGUAAGUAACUAAGCACGUCUUGACGGUACCGAAUCAAAAAGCCACGGCUAACUACGUG
rnacentral:rRNA from 1 species